rnacentral:tRNA from 1 species
UGGUGCCUUAGCUCAGUUGGUAGAGCAAAGGACUGAAAAUCCUUGUGUCCCUGGUUCGAUUCCUGGAGGCACCACCAU